GGGGCAGCCCGUGAGGGGAAAUGGCGGGGAGGGAGCGGAGCAGGCCGGGGAGCGCAGGAACAGGCAGAGUUUAUGAAUGAAGGUCCUCUGUCCUGCCUUCUUCCUUCAGAGCUGCACCAGCAGUGAUCUCAAGAGGGAGGAAACACUGUUAAAACCUUGUUGAAGCACCAGGAUGACCCAUCUGUUUCAUGUGUCUUUACAAAUACAGAAAUUACUCAUAAUACUAGAAAAUCCUCAAUCCUGUGGUAAUGAAAUCAGCUCAAUCUGAACUCAGCUUAUAGAAAAAAACAGCAAUAUUUACAAAGGGAAUAAAUCAGAUUAAUAAAAGGCAAAAGAGAUUUGGAGACCCCGUAUUGAUUGCCCUUCAAGGAGUGUAGCAGCGUGUGGCAGCAGUGCCGACCGUGAUCCAGGGAGGCCGCCAGCAGCAGCAGGGAAAACAGAUGAGACAAAGUUUCCUGUAAGGGCACUGAAGGACAAAGAUGAUGUAGAAACCUUUCUCUGGUACUCCCCAUUGAUUCUUUCAUCCUCAAGUAUUAAAUUCACAGAUUGUAGUCCACUCAGCUCUGACUAUCCAUGUUAUUUGCAAAAGUGCCCACAGAGCAUAAAUAUUUUCUUCUGAGAAGAGGACAACAUGAGGACAGCCAGGGAAAUGACCACAGCUGUUGCCUGAUGGAUGAAGAUGUUAACCCAUUCCUUGGCACAUCCAAUUAAGCUCCCAGCUGUUGGUUCCUGCUCUUCAGCUCCACCCAAGGAGGUGAAUGAAUAUUGGCUGCAUGCCAUCCUGGCCAUAACGACCAUGCCAAACUCAGCUGUGUUAUUGGUUUAUCAGAUACAGGCAGAUGUUGACAAGAGCCAAAAUGUUGCUUGAUUGUUGAGAAAAUGCCUGUGUGAAAGGUUUUAAGAGCUCCUUCCACUCACAUGAAAA